UACGUAGGGGGCAAGCGUUAAUCGGAAUUACUGGGCGUAAAGCGCACGUAGGCGGCUUUGUAAGUUAGGGGUGAAAGCCCUGGAGCUCAACUUCAGAAUUGCCCUUAAGACUGCAUCGCUUGAAUCCAGGAGAGGUGAGUGGAAUUCCGAGUGUAGAGGUGAAAUUCGUAGAUAUUCGGAAGAACACCAGUGGCGAAGGCGGCUCACUGGACUGGUAUUGACGCUGAGGUGCGAAAGCGUGGGGAGCAACAGG
rnacentral:rRNA from 1 species